AAAAUGUUUCUAAUAAUAACAAAAGUGCAAACUUUUGUUUUUUUAAGUUUUGUAUCUUUGACCAGUGUGAAUUGGAAUGGCAUUCACAAAUCACAAUCCUUUUGAUAGUCAAAAAAACAAAAGUUAUAAAGAAGGUGACAAAGUUAGUAAUGCGUUUCCUCCCUCUUUCCACUGGGGCCAUGCCCCUAAUUAUGGGGGUUGCUUGAUGGAUCCAACGCCCACCCAUUCAUACUGCUUUCAAAAGUUUAUUCAAAUAUAAAUAGACAUAGGAAAGCCAUCAGAAGCUGAGCAUAACAUCAUACUCUCAAAAACAUGAAGGCUUUGCUCAUUAUUUGCAUCCUCUUGUUCUUGUUUUGUGUCCUUCCUUUCUCUACAGCUCGAGAAGUUCACGACGUGGAACACAAUGGCAUUAGCGUAAGUUUUCCAGUGCCAAACACAGGUGGACAGCGUGUGGCUACAAAAGUAUCAUGCUACAAGAAUGGAAAAUAUGUAGUAUGCAACAUACCCACACCACCAGCAGGAAAGGCAGGAAAAGUGUCUAUUUAUUCAAGAUCGACAUGCCCUUGCAUUAAUCGAAAAGGACUCUAAUUAAGUCUUUGAUAAUUAUUUUGUUUCUAUAGUGUGUUUCAAGGUGCUAUAUAUGUUGAGUAAUGAUUUAUU